rnacentral:misc_RNA from 1 species
GAUGAAGAACGCAGCGAAAUGCGAUAAGUAGUGUGAAUUGCAGAAUUCAGUGAAUCAUCGAAUCUUUGAACGCACAUUGCGCCCCUUGGUAUUCCAUGGGGCAUGCCUGUUCGAGCGUCAUUUGUACCUUCAAGCUCUGCUUGGUGUUGGGUGUUUGUCUCGCCUCUGCGUGUAGACUCGCCUCAAAACAAUUGGCAGCCGGCGUAUUGAUUUCGGAGCGCAGUACAUCUCGCGCUUUGCACUCAUAACGACGACGUCCAAAAGUACAUUUUUACACUCUUGACAUCGGAUCAGGUAGGGAUACCCGCUGAACUUAAGCAUAUCAAUAAGCGGAGGA